AGAAUCCUGCUUAUCCAUGAAAUGCAGUUAACACAUCAGUUGGACAUGUUUCCUGAAUGCAGGGUGACACUUUUACUAUUUAAAGAUGUGAAAACUGCAGGAGAUUUGAGGAAAAAGACCACGGAAGGCACCUUUGAUGGUGCAUUGAUAAAUCCAACAGUGAUUGUCAAUCCAUUUCAGACACUUGUGGCAGCAAACAAAGCAGUUCACCUCUACAAACUGGGAAAAAUGAAGACAAGAACUCUAUCUACUGAAAUUAUUUUCAACCUUUCCCCAAUAUUUCAGAGGCUUUGAAAAAAUUUGGUAUCCCAGCCAAUAAUACCUCAAUUCUAAUUGUUUACACUGAAGAGGGAGAAAAACAAAUAAAUCAAGACUACCUAAUAUCUCAAGUAGAAGGUCAUCAGAUUUCUCUGAGAGAUCUUCCUGAAAUAACAAAUAUUACAGAAGUUAAAAAGAUAUAUAAACUUUCAUCACAAGAAGAAUAUAUUGGAACAUUAUUGGAAAGUAUCAUUUGUAGAAUGUCAACAAAACACGUUUUGUGAAAUGUUGGAAAUAACAGAAAUUUCAGCAUUAAACCAUUAAUUUU